AACGAACGCUGGCGGCAUGCCUAACACAUGCAAGUCGAACGAGACCUUCGGGUCUAGUGGCGCACGGGUGCGUAACGCGUGGGAACCUGCCUUUAGGUUCGGAAUAACUCAGAGAAAUUUGAGCUAAUACCGGAUGAUGUCUUCGGACCAAAGAUUUAUCGCCUUUAGAUGGGCCCGCGUUGGAUUAGCUAGUUGGUGGGGUAAAGGCCUACCAAGGCGACGAUCCAUAGCUGGUCUGAGAGGAUGAUCAGCCACACUGGGACUGAGACACGGCCCAGACUCCUACGGGAGGCAGCAGUGGGGAAUCUUAGACAAUGGGCGCAAGCCUGAUCUAGCCAUGCCGCGUGAGCGAUGAAGGCCUUAGGUGUAAAGCUCUUUCAGUGGGGAAGGAUAAU
rnacentral:rRNA from 1 species